rnacentral:rRNA from 1 species
UACGUAGGGACCAAGCGUUGUUCGGAUUUACUGGGCGUAAAGGGCGCGUAGGCGGUCAGCACAAGUCAGUUGUGAAAUCUCCGGGCUUAACUCGGAACGGUCAACUGAUACUGUGCGACUAGAGUGCAGAAGGGGCAACUGGAAUUCUUGGUGUAGCGGUGAAAUGCGUAGAUAUUAAGAGGAACACCUGCGGCGAAGGCGGGUUGCUGGGCCGACACUGACGCUGAGGCGCGAAAGCUAGGGGAGCGAACGAG